UGAACGCUGGCGGCGUGCCUAAUACAUGCAAGUCGCGCGAACGGACGAGAAGCUUGCUUUUCUGAUGUUAGCGGCGGACGGGUGAGUAACACGUGGAUAACCUACCUAUAAGACUGGGAUAACUUCGGGAAACCGGAGCUAAUACCGGAUAAUAUUUUGAACCGCAUGGUUCAAAAGUGAAAGACGGUCUUGCUGUCACUUAUAGAUGGAUCCGCGCUGCAUUAGCUAGUUGGUAAGGUAACGGCUUACCAAGGCAACGAUGCAUAGCCGACCUGAGAGGGUGAUCGGCCACACUGGAACUGAGACACGGUCCAGACUCCUACGGGAGGCAGCAGUAGGGAAUCUUCCGCAAUGGGCGAAAGCCUGACGGAGCAACGCCGCGUGAGUGAUGAAGGUCUUCGGAUCGUAAAACUCUGUUAUUGGGGAAGAACAUAUGUGUAAGUAACUGUGCACAUCUUGACGGUACCUAAUCAGAAAGCCACGGCUAACUACGUG
rnacentral:rRNA from 1 species